rnacentral:misc_RNA from 1 species
AAGUCGUAACAAGGUUUCCGUAGGUGAACCUGCGGAAGGAUCAUUACCGAAAACAAAAACGGCCCCGCGACGCCGUCGCUCAUCUCGAUGAGUGGCGCUCGCGGGGACGGACCCCUGUGAACGCGUUUCCGUCUUUGGUGCCCACGCGCGCGCACGCGGCGGCCUCUUAGAGGCCGCUUGCGCUGCUGCCACGCGUGGCCCAAUCUUUUUCAUUUACCCCAUCUCUUCUGAAUGCUGACUGAAGUAAAGUCGAGGUCUUCCUCCGGGACGGCUUUCGGCGUGGUCACAGCACCUCCUUCGGGCGGGCUUGACGACAAUAACUCGUGACAACUUUUAACAACGGAUAUCUUGGUUCAC